UAGAAUCAAGAAUAUUAAGUACCAUAUUUUAGUGAUAUUUGUUUUUAUUUUUUUUUUAUUUUUUGAUAAAGGUAGUGAUAUUUAUUUAUUAUCUAAGCAAGAUUAAAAAUAUUAAAAUAAUAACCAUGUAAAAAGCAUCUGGUAUUGUUAUCUUUUCCCUUUUUUAAUUACUUUAAUAAAUAAGAGAAAGAAAUUGUAC
rnacentral:lncRNA from 1 species